GGGAAUGGAUAAACAAGAUUGGGAAUGGUUGGUUAAAGAAUAUUUUUUAAGUGAAAGUUUUCAGAAAAUGAGUAAAACAAAUACACAGAAUAGAUCCUUGAAAUCUAUGCCACAUCGAACAGGAAGCAAGCCUUUUAGGCAAUUGGCAUAUGAAAUGGGAGGAAAAGAUGGACAACCUCCAGAUUUUGCAUCAAUGUUUUUUGAGACACGAAAAAAGGGAGACCAUAUUGUUGAUCUUGAUGCAAUUGAAAAAUAUGUGAGU